rnacentral:rRNA from 1 species
AUUGAACGCUGGCGGCAGGCCUAACACAUGCAAGUCGAACGGUAACAGGAAGAAGCUUGCUUCUUUGCUGACGAGUGGCGGACGGGUGAGUAAUGUCUGGGAAACUGCCUGAUGGAGGGGGAUAACUACUGGAAACGGUAGCUAAUACCGCAUAACGUCGCAAGACCAAAGAGGGGGACCUUCGGGCCUCUUGCCAUCGGAUGUGCCCAGAUGGGAUUAGCUAGUAGGUGGGGUAACGGCUCGCCUAGGCGACGAUCCCUAGCUGGUCUGAGAGGAUGACCAGCCACACUGGAACUGAGACACGGUCCAGACUCCUACGGGAGGCAGCAGUGGGGAAUAUUGCACAAUGGGCGCAAGCCUGAUGCAGCCAUGCCGCGUGUAUGAAGAAGGCCUUCGGGUUGUAAAGUACUUUCAGCGGGGAGGAAGGGAGUAAAGUUAAUACCUUUACUCAUUGACGUUACCCGCAGAAGAAGCACCGGCUAACUCCGUG